rnacentral:rRNA from 1 species
AUACGGAGGAUGCGAGCGUUAUCCGGAUUUAUUGGGUUUAAAGGGAGCGUAGGUGGGAUAUUAAGUCAGCUGUGAAAGUUUGGGGCUCAACCUUAAAAUUGCAGUUGAUACUGGUUUCCUUGAGUACGGUACAGGUGGGCGGAAUUCGUGGUGUAGCGGUGAAAUGCUUAGAUAUCACGAAGAACUCCGAUCGCGAAGGCAGCUCACCGGGCCGGAACUGACACUGAUGCUCGAAAGUGCGGGUAUCAAACAGGAUUAGAUACCCUGGUAGUCCGCACAGUAAACGAUGAUUACUAGCUGUUUGCGAUAUACAGUAAGUGGCACAGCGAAAGCGUUAAGUAAUCCACCUGGGGAGUACGCCGGCAACGGUGAAACUCAAAUGAAUUGACGGGG